AUGUAAUGAUGUGGACAUUUUUUGGCAUUGCUUUUAAUCUCUUUCAUACUUGAUAAACUGACUCAGUAUCAAUCUGCAAAAAGUUAUAUAUAUCAUAUUUCAAUCU
rfam:Capsicum annuum cultivar Zunla-1 chromosome 4, whole genome shotgun sequence